rnacentral:rRNA from 1 species
UACGUAGGGGGCAAGCGUUGUCCGGAUUUAUUGGGCGUAAAGAGCGUGUAGGCGGCCAGACAAGUCUGCUGUGAAAACUCGAGGCUCAACCUCGAGCUGUCGGUGGAAACUGUCUGGACUAGAGUCCGGAAGAGGAGAGUGGAAUUCCUGGUGUAGCGGUGAAAUGCGCAGAUAUCAGGAAGAACACCUAUGGCGAAGGCAGCUCUCUGGGACGGUACUGACGCUGAGACGCGAAAGCGUGGGGAGCGAACAGGAUAGACUACC